GACGAACGCUGGCGGCGUGCCUAAUACAUGCAAGUUGAGCGCUGAAGGUUGGUACUUAUCCCAACUGGAUGAGCAGCGAACGGGUGAGUAACGCGUGGGGAAUCUGCCUUUGAGCGGGGGACAACAUUUGGAAACGAAUGCUAAUACCGCAUAAAAACUUUAAACACAAGUUUUAAGUUUGAAAGAUGCAAUUGCAUCACUCAAAGAUGAUCCCGCGUUGUAUUAGCUAGUUGGUGAGGUAAAGGCUCACCAAGGCGAUGAUACAUAGCCGACCUGAGAGGGUGAUCGGCCACAUUGGGACUGAGACACGGCCCAAACUCCUACGGGAGGCAGCAGUAGGGAAUCUUCGGCAAUGGACGAAAGUCUGACCGAGCAACGCCGCGUGAGUGAAGAAGGUUUUCGGAUCGUAAAACUCUGUUGGUAGAGAAGAACGUUGGUGAGAGUGGAAAGCUCAUCAAGUGACGGUAACUACCCAGAAAGGGACGGCUAACUACGUG
rnacentral:rRNA from 1 species